rnacentral:rRNA from 1 species
GAUGAACGCUAGCUACAGGCUUAACACAUGCAAGUCGAGGGACCGGCGCACGGGUGAGUAACGCGUAUCCAACCUGCCCAUGUCUGGGGAAUAACCCGUCGAAAGGCGGACUAACUCCCCAUGGACAUGGAUGGGGAUGCGUCUGAUUAGGUAGUAGGCGGGGUAACGGCCCACCUAGCCUACGAUCAGUAGGGGUUCUGAGAGGAAGGUCCCCCACAUUGGAACUGAGACACGGUCCAAACUCCUACGGGAGGCAGCAGUGAGGAAUAUUGGUCAAUGGACGAGAGUCUGAACCAGCCAAGUAGCGUGCAGGAUGACGGCCUAUGGGUUGUAAACUGCUUUUGCGCGGGGAUAGGUACCGCGCGAAUAAGGACCGGCUAAUUCCGUGCCAGCAGCCGCGGUAAUACGGAAGGUCCGGGCGUUAUCCGGAUUUAUUGGGUUUAAAGGGAGCGUAGGCCGUGAGGUAAGCGUGUUGUGAAAUGUAGGCGCCCAACGUCUGCACUGCAGCGCGAACUGCCCCACUUGAGUGCGCGCAACGCCGGCGGAACUCGUCGUGUAGCGGUGAAAUGCUUAGAUAUGACGAAGAACCCCGAUUGCGAA